UACAGAGGGUGCGAGCGUUAAUCGGAAUUACUGGGCGUAAAGGGCGCGUAGGCGGAUAAAUAAGUUAGAUGUGAAAUCCCUGGGCUUAACCUAGGACCUGCAUUUAAAACUGUUUAACUAGAGUGCAGUAGAGGGUAGCGGAAUUUCCGGUGUAGCGGUGAAAUGCGUAGAUAUCGGAAGGAACACCAGUGGCGAAGGCGGCUACCUGGACUGACACUGACGCUGAGGCGCGAGAGCGUGGGGAGCAAACAGG
rnacentral:rRNA from 1 species